rnacentral:rRNA from 1 species
GGAGCUGAGACCAGUCGAAGAUACCAGCUGGCUGCAACUGUUUAUUAAAAACACAGCACUGUGCAAACACGAAAGUGGACGUAUACGGUGUGACGCCUGCCCGGUGCCGGAAGGUUAAUUGAUGGGGUUAUCCGUAAGGAGAAGCUCUUGAUCGAAGCCCCGGUAAACGGCGGCCGUAACUAUAACGGUCCUAAGGUAGCGAAAUUCCUUGUCGGGUAAGUUCCGACCUGCACGAAUGGCGUAAUGAUGGCCAGGCUGUCUCCACCCGAGACUCAGUGAAAUUGAACUCGCUGUGAAGAUGCAGUGUACCCGCGGCAAGACGGAAAGACCCCGUGAACCUUUACUAUAGCUUGACACUGAACAUUGAGCCUUGAUGUGUAGGAUAGGUGGGAGGCUUUGAAGCGUGGACGCCAGUCUGCGUGGAGCCAACCUUGAAAUACCACCCUUUAAUGUUUGAUGUUCUAACGUAGGCCCCUGACCGGGGUUGCGGACAGUGUCUGGUGGGUAGUUUGACUGGGGCGGUCUCCUCCCAAAGAGUAACGGAGGAGCACGAAGGUUAGCUAAUCCUGGUCGGACAUCAGGAGGUUAGUGCAAUGGCAUAAGCUAGCUUGACUGCGAGCGUGACGGCGCGAGCAGGUGCGAAAGCAGGUCAUAGUGAUCCGGUGGUUCUGAAUGGAAGGGCCAUCGCUCAACGGAUAAAAGGUACUCCGGGGAUAACAGGCUGAUACCGCCCAAGAGUUCAUAUCGACGGCGGUGUUUGGCACCUCGAUGUCGGCUCAUCACAUCCUGGGGCUGAAGUAGGUCCCAAGGGUAUGGCUGUUCGCCAUUUAAAGUGGUACGCGAGCUGGGUUUAGAACGUCGUGAGACAGUUCGGUCCCUAUCUGCCGUGGGCGCUGGAGAAUUGAGGGGGGCUGCUCCUAGUACGAGAGGACCGGAGUGGACGCAUCACUGGUGUUCGGGUUGUCAUGCCAAUGGCACUGCCCGGUAGCUAAAUGCGGAAGAGAUAAGUGCUGAAAGCAUCUAAGCACGAAACUUGCCCCGAGAUGAGUUCUCCCUGAGACUAUAAGUCUCCUGAAGGAACGUUGAAGACGACGACGUUGAUAGGCCGGGUGUGUAAGCGCAGCGAUGCGUUGAGCUAACCGGUACUAAUGAACCGUGAGGCUUAACCUUACAACGCCGAAGCUGUU